GUGGGGAAUUUUGGACAAUGGGCGCAAGCCUGAUCCAGCAAUGCCGCGUGCAGGAAGAAGGCCUUCGGGUUGUAAACUGCUUUUGUACGGAACGAAACGGUCCGGGUUAAUACCCUGGGCUAAUGACGGUACCGUAAGAAUAAGCACCGGCUAACUACGUGCCAGUAGCCGCGGUAAUACGUAGGGUGCAAGCGUUAAUCGGAAUUACUGGGCGUAAAGCGUGCGCAGGCGGUUUUGUAAGACAGGCGUGAAAUCCCCGGGCUCAACCUGGGAAUUGCGCUUGUGACUGCAAGGCUGGAGUGCGGCAGAGGGGGAUGGAAUUCCGCGUGUAGCAGUGAAAUGCGUAGAUAUGCGGAGGAACACCGAUGGCGAAGGCAAUCCCCUGGGCCUGCACUGACGCUCAUGCACGAAAGCGUGGGGAGCAAACAGGAUUAGAUACCCGUGUAGUCC
rnacentral:rRNA from 1 species